AUUGAACGCUGGCGGCAGGCUUAACACAUGCAAGCCGAGCGGAGUGAUGGUGCUUGCACUAUCACUUAGCGGCGGACGGGUGAGUAAUGCUUAGGAAUCUGCCUAUUAGUGGGGGACAACAUCUCGAAAGGGAUGCUAGUACCGCAUACGUCCUACGGGAGAAAGCAGGGGAUCACUUGUGACCUUGCGCUAAUAGAUGAGCCUAAGUCGGAUUAGCUAGUUGGUGGGGUAAAGGCCUACCAAGGCGACGAUCUGUAGCGGGUCUGAGAGGAUGAUCCGCCACACUGGGACUGAGACACGGCCCAGACACCUACGGGAGGUAGCAGUGGGGAAUAUUGGACAAUGGGGGGAACCCUGAUCCAGCCAUGCCGCGUGUGUGAAGAAGGCCUUAUGGUUGUAGAGCACUUUAAGCGAGGAGGAGGCUUACCUAGUUAAUACCUGGGAUAAGUGGACGUUACUCGCAGAAUAAGCACCGGCUAACUCUGUGCCAGCCGCCGCUGUAACAC
rnacentral:rRNA from 1 species